rnacentral:rRNA from 1 species
CCUACGGGCGGCAGCAGUGGGGAAUAUUGCACAAUGGGGGAAACCCUGAUGCAGCGACGCCGCGUGAAGGAAGAAGUAUUUCGGUAUGUAAACUUCUAUCAGCAGGGAAGAAAAUGACGGUAACUGACUAAGAAGCCCCGGCUAACUACGUGCCAGCAGCCGCGGUAAUACGUAGGGGGCAAGCGUUUUCCGGAUUUACUGGGUGGAAAGGGAGCGUAGACGGCAAGGCAAGCCAGAAGGAAAAGGGCAGGGCUCAACCCGGUACAGGCGUUUGGAACUGUUGUGAUAGAGUGCAGGAGAGGUAAGUGGAAUUCGUAGUGUAGCGGUGAAGUGCGUAGAUAUUAGGAGGAACACCAGUGGCGAAGGCGGCUUACUGGACUGUAACUGACGUUGAGGCUCGAAAGCGUGGGGAGCAGACGGGAUUAAAUACCACUGUAGUC